GACGAACGCUGGCGGCGUGCUUAACACAUGCAAGUCGAACGGAAAGGCCCUGCUUUUGUGGGGUGCUCGAGUGGCGAACGGGUGAGUAACACGUGAGUAACCUGCCCUUGACUUUGGGAUAACUUCAGGAAACUGGGGCUAAUACCGGAUAGGAGCUCCUGCUGCAUGGUGGGGGUUGGAAAGUUUCGGCGGUUGGGGAUGGACUCGCGGCUUAUCAGCUUGUUGGUGGGGUAGUGGCUUACCAAGGCUUUGACGGGUAGCCGGCCUGAGAGGGUGACCGGCCACAUUGGGACUGAGAUACGGCCCAGACUCCUACGGGAGGCAGCAGUGGGGAAUAUUGCACAAUGGGCGGAAGCCUGAUGCAGCAACGCAGCGUGCGGGAUGACGGCCUUCGGGUUGUAAAACGCUUUCGCAUGUGACGAAGCGUGAGUGACGGUAAUGGGUAAAGAAGCACCGGCUAACUACGUG
rnacentral:rRNA from 1 species